rnacentral:rRNA from 1 species
GUGCCAGCCGCCGCGGUAAUACGUAGGGUGCAAGCGUUGUCCGGAAUUAUUGGGCGUAAAGAGCUCGUAGGCGGUUUGUCGCGUCGACUGUGAAAACCCGAGGCUUAACCUCGGGCCUGCAGUCGAUACGGGCAGACUAGAGUUCGGUAGGGGAGACUGGAAUUCCUGGUGUAGCGGUGAAAUGCGCAGAUAUCAGGAGGAACACCGGUGGCGAAGGCGGGUCUCUGGGCCGAUACUGACGCUGAGGAGCGAAAGCGUGGGGAGCGAACAGGAUUAGAAACCCGCGUAGUCC